rnacentral:rRNA from 1 species
CAAUAGCGUAUAUUAAAGUUGUUGCAGUUAAAAAGCUCGUAGUUGGACCUUGGACCUGGACAGGCGGUCCGCCUCACGGCGUGUACUGUCUUGCUGGGUCUCUCCUCUUGGUGAUCUGUUGUUUCGGCAGCAGGGAACCAGGACUUUUGCUUUGAAAAAAUUAGAGUGUUCAAAGCAGGCUCGACGCCGGAAUAUAUUAGCAUGGAAUAAUAAAAUAGGACGUGCGGUUCUAUUUUGUUGGUUUUUGGAAUCGCCGUAAUGAUUAAUAGGGACAGUCGGGGGCAUUAGUACUCACAUGCUAGAGGUGAAAUUCUUGGAUUUUGUGAAGACUAACUUCUGCGAAAGCAUUUGCCAAGGAUGUUUUCAUUAA